UCAGAUGUUCUCAUUAUGUGGAACAGAAUUCAGCAGGUGUUUGAUUGUUUACCCUGUAAAGGGGAAGGUGAGCUGGGAUUAAAUUGUUAGGACACAGCUU
rnacentral:rRNA from 1 species